AUAAAUGUUAUGUAUAAAGAGUAUAAUAUAAAUAAUAGGAAUCUUGGCAUAUAUAUAAGGAUGUAUUAAAAAAACUUUAUUAAUGAAAAUUAUGCUAAAGUGUUUCCUUUAAAUAAAUUACUAUAAUAGAAGUAUUUAUUAUUUUAUAAUAAUAAAACUUAAUAUAUUUAAGGAAUUGAAACAUCUUAUUACUUAAAAGAUCAAAAAUCAAAAGAGAUUUAAAUAGUAAUUGGGAAUGAAAUUUAAAAAAUAAAAAAAAUUGAAAUAGAAAUAAUAUGGUAAUGAGACCAAUAUAAUUAAAAUUUUUAUGUAAAUAGUAUUAUGUUAUUUUAAGAAAAGUGGUAAUCUUCCACUAAAAUUAUAAAUAUAUUAUAUGACCGAUAGUGAAUUUGUACCGUAAGGGAAAGAUUGAAAAAGCAUAUAUAAAUCUUUUGUUUGAAAAAGAGUUAAAUUAUUUAUAAAAAAGCAAUUGUUACGCAUUGUACCUUUUGUAUAAUGGAUCAGUUAGUUAAUUUUAAUAGUAAGCUUGUAGGCAUAUAUAAUUAGAUAUUUUAAAUUAUUAAAAUUAAACCCGAAACUAAGUGAUCCAAUCUUGAACAGAAGAUAGUUCGAACUUUAUUAUGUUGCAAAAUAAAAAGAAGAUUCAAGAUUAGGGGUGAAAGGCUAAUCAAACUUAGAUAUAGCUGGUUUUUUACGAAAGUCGUGUAAGCGAGAUGUUAAUAAAAAGCUAGGGUACUAGUUAAAGAGAUAGAGAAUACUAUAAUAUCAAAAUAUUUUAUUAUAUUAUUGCUUGAAUUAAUGGAACUCAAAAUACUUUAAGAUUAAACAAUUAGACUUUGAAUGAAAAGGUUCAAAGUCAAGAGGGAAACAGCCCAGAUUAUAUUCUAAGGUGUUAAAUUUAUGUAAAGAUUAAAAAAUUUUAAAAAUAAAGAUUUUUAACAUUUAAGCCUGGAAGCCGCUAUUACUUAGUAAAAUCGUAACAGAUUAUUAAACGAUUAAAAUUAAUUUUUUUUGUGUUUAUUAAAAUUUGAAAAUUUUUGACUAUUUAUUAUAAAACCGAAGUUAUAAAUUUUAUUUGAAUGGUAGUAAAAUAUUUUGUUGAGGUUCAAAACAAAUACUUCUGAUAUAAGUAAUACAAUUCACUUUUUGAAAAGUGAUACUGGUAAGUUAAGGUUUUUUUUGUAACUUUAAAAGAUUCAAAAAGUAAUUACGGUUUCUAAAACAUAUACAAACGUAGUUGUUGAUGAAAUAUUUAUAUUUUUUUAUUAUGUUUAAUGUUAAAUUUUAAUUUUAUUAACUAAUAAAAAAGUAUCAGGAAAAUAUAUUCCGUACUUAAACCAACUCAGGCGAUUAGGUAGAGAAUACCCCAGUAAGGAAUAACAAUAUUAAAGGAAUUCGGCAAAAUUACUCUGUAACUUGGGGAUAAAGAGGAUUAUAAUUUGGUAAUCUUAAUUAUAAUGACAUUAAAAAAAAAAGAGCGACUGUUUAAUAAAAACACAGGACUUUGCUAAAUUGUAAUAUGAUGUAUAAGGUUUGACGUCUGCUCAAUGCUUUUAGUUAAGAGGAAGUGUUUUUGCACUGAAUAUAAUCUAUUGUAAAUAGCGGUUGUAACUAUGACAAUCCGAAGGUAGCGAAAUUCUUUGUCAGGUAAGUUCUGACCUGCACGAAUGAUGUAACGACUUUUUUACUGUCUCUAAUAUUGAUCUAAUGAAAUUGAAUUUGCUGUGAAGAUUCAGUAAUAUCGUAGUUAGACGAAAAGACCCUAUACACUUUUACUAUAAGUAUAUAUUGUUUUUGAUAAUAUUUUAUAUAGUAUAGGUGGGAAUUUAAAAAAAAUAUCAAUUAAAGUUAUUUUAUUUAAUAGUUAUGUAAUACCAUCUAAAAUAUUUAUUAAUACUUAUUCUUUUUUAGAAAAUAUUAUAUAUUGGUUAGUUUGACUGGGGCAGUGGUCGUCUAAAAAGUAACGACGAUGUAUAAAUGUGUGUUAAAAUAAUUUUUAUUAUUUUUUUAAUAUAAUGGUAUAAAUACGCUUGAUUGUGUUAUUGACAAAUAAUACAAGGAUAUAAAAAAUCUAUCAUAGAGAACCGAUACUGUUGUAAGAUGAAAUUAUCGAUCAACGAAUAAAAAGUACGUUAGGGAUAACAGGUUAAUAUUUUUUUAGAGUUCUUAUCGAUAAAAAUGUUUGACACCUCGAUGUCGACUUAUCGAAUUCUGGAAUUGAAGAUGAUUCUAUGGAUUUGACUGUUCGUCAAUUAAUACGGUACACGAGUUGGGUUUAGAACGUCGUAAGACAGUUUGGUUUCUAUCUUCUAUGAUUAUAAAAAAUAAAAGUAAUUAAGUUUAGUACGAGAGGAUUGAUAAAUGUAAAUAAUGUGUAAAUUAAUUGUUAUUAAUAAUAGCAAGUUAAAAAGCUAAAUUUAUAACUUAUUAUCACUGAAGUCAUAUAAGUGAGAAGAAAAACUUUGUUGUUUAUAUUUAAUAAUAUUUAGAGGCUUUUUUGUAGAGUAAAGUAAUUUUUUAACAAAUAGUUCUUAAUUUUUAAUAUUUAUAAUAAUUAUUUAUUUAUUUUUUAGAUCA
rnacentral:rRNA from 1 species